GUGAAUCAUCGAAUUUUUGAACGCAAAUUGCGCUUCCUGGCAUCCCGGGAAGUAUGCCUGUUUGAGGGUCAGUUUUAAUAAAAAAUGGGUUUGGUUACAAAUUGUGACGUUUCGGGAGUUUGGGCGAUCUUAACAUUUUUGGUUAAGAGGCCUAAAAUUGACCUUUUUUGUGCAUUUUUAAACGUACAUAAUUUUUUUUUAGUUUUCUAUUCUUAAUCCUAAAAGCUUAUUAGAUGCUGA
rnacentral:misc_RNA from 1 species